GCUAAUCCGCGCAGGGUGAGCCGGCCCCUAAGACGAGGGCGAAAGCCGUAGUCGAUGGGAAACAGGUUAAUAUUCCUGUGCCUGCUGGGUGUUGACGAAUGCCGAUAGUUGUACGGACUUAUUGGAUUGUCCGUGCAGCGUAGGUGUUCCAGGAAAUAGCCCCAGCGUAUAGACCGUACCCCAAACCGACACAGGUGGGCUGGUAGAGUAUACCAAGGCGCUUGAGAGAACUA
rnacentral:rRNA from 1 species